CCAGACUCCUACGGGAGGCAGCAGUGGGGAAUAUUGCACAAUGGGGGAAACCCUGAUGCAGCAACGCCGCGUGAGUGAAGAAGUAUUUCGGUAUGUAAAGCUCUAUCAGCAGGGAAGAAAAUGACGGUACCUGAGUAAGAAGCCCCGGCUGACUACGUGCCAGCAGCCGCGGUAAUACGUAGGGGGCAAGCGUUAUCCGGAUUUACUGGGUGUAAAGGGGGCGCAGACGGCGAUGCAAGCCAGGAGUGAAAGCCCGGGGCCCAACCCCGGGACUGCUCUUGGACCUGCGUGGCUGGAGUGCAGGAGGGGCAGGCGGAAUUCCUGGUGUAGCGGUGAAAUGCGUAGAUAUCAGGAGGAACACCAGUGGCGAAGGCGGCUUACUGGACUGUAACUGACGUUGAGGCUCGAAAGCGUGGGGAGCAACCAGGAUUAGAUACCCCUGUACA
rnacentral:rRNA from 1 species